ACUCGAGUGGCGAACGGGUGAGUAACACGUGGGUGAUCUGCCCUGCACUUCGGGAUAAGCCUGGGAAACUGGGUCUAAUACCGGAUAGGACGAUGGUUUGGAUGCCAUUGUGGAAAGUUUUUCGGUGUGGGAUGAGCUCGCGGCCAUCAGCUUGUUGGUGGGGUAAUGGCCUACCAAGGCGUCGACGGGUAGCCGGCCUGAGAGGGUGUACGGCCACAUUGGGACUGAGAUACGGCCCAG
rnacentral:rRNA from 1 species